UACGUAGGAUGCGAGCGUUAAUCGGAAUUACUGGGCGUAAAGCGUGCGCAGGCGGCUUUGCAAGACAGAUGUGAAAUCCCCGGGCUCAACCUGGGAACUGCAUUUGUGACUGCAAGGCUAGAGUACGGCAGAGGGGGAUGGAAUUCCGCGUGUAGCAGUGAAAUGCGUAGAUAUGCGGAGGAACACCAAUGGCGAAGGCAAUCCCCUGGGCCUGUACUGACGCUCAUGCACGAAAGCGUGGGGAGCAAACAGG
rnacentral:rRNA from 1 species